GGUAAUCAUUAUAAACAGUUUAUUCAGUGAUUCUUUCCCCAAAGCAAUUAUUUGUGUAAGAGCACAGGUGAAUACACAGGCCACAUUAUUUACAUAACAGACUACAGACAUUAAAGAGCAGAAGUUUCUAAGGUGGGAUCCACUGACAGCCAACACAAAACUCAGAUGCCUUAGACACACCUGGUUUGCUUAUUAACAAUAAUAGGUUCCAGUAGUUGAGGUGAUUUGGUUGGUCUGGGCAGGCCCAGGAAUUUGCAUUUCAUCAAACACCUCCAGUGAAGUAACUCUAAAACUGAAGGAUCAUUACUCCUGAAGGAUCAACUAAAGUUCAAGGUGGCGGAGGCUUUACCACCGAUCCCUUCCCAUUAUGGUGGAAUCCUUAGCCAAUUGUGAGUAAAACCAGAUCCCUGAUCUGUUGCCAGGUGCACCCUUAUCUUAUCAACCUGCUUUCUUCUUAUUCUAUUGAGGAAUUUUCUAGGAAUAUGUCUUCUACAAUAUUGGCUGAAUUUAUUGUUCAUUGUAAUUAACAUGGUUAUUGACUAUAAAUAAUUCUCAGUCUUUCUGCCCCCAACUCCUCAGUUUAUGUCCAAUUUAUUCUUUCUAGGUAUAGCUCUGGCCAUUCCUAUUCUGGAGUUUUCUGCUGUACAGAUCCAUGCAAUGUUGGAAUUUCAAGUAUUUGUUUUUUGUUUGACAUCACCUUCUGAAAAACGCCUGCUUGUUAUUACUGUGGGAACAUCUCUGUCCUUCUGUCUCUUCCUUUCAUUCUUAUCUGCUGGACUGAAGCCCAAGUCUGGGCCUGGGUCUCUUUUUGAUGUUCUGCACUGUGCUAGUGGAACUUUGUGCUAGUGGAAAGUUUUCCUGGAUUGCUAGGCAGAAGAGGACAAUCUCUAGGUUUAGUGAUAUCUGAAACAUUAUAUCCAAUUGUGUGGAGGUCAUGGGCUUCAAGUGUGACACUAUUAAAUAUGGUCAUAAUUGCUGGAGCCCAGGUUUUUUUUCCCCUCUGUUCAAUUCAUUGAGGACUGUCUCUGCUUGAGUUGGUUAGACAUCAGGUAAUGAGCAGGAAGGAAGGUAAAGGGGUAAGAUCAGGCUCAGAAGACAUCUAACUUUUCUAUACAAACUAUCAACAUAAAAGGGGAUAUAUCUUAGCAAAGGAGCAUGACCCACCAGGAUCCACGCGAUCAAAGAAUGCUUUCUCCAAUAAGACUUAGAGUGGAGAAGUGACACAGCCGAUUUAUGUUGAAAAGGAACACUCUGAUUACCACGUUGUAUGAGGGCCAGGAUGGAAGCAGGGGCCAGUUGGGUGCCAUCUCAGUGAGACAUCAAGAGGUGAUGGUGGCUGACACCAGGGUGCCAGCAACAGGGUAUCAACAGAUAGCUGGUGUCAACCCAGAAACUGCCUGACUUCCUGAUGCACGCAGUUGCCUGAAAUUCACGGACCAUCAAAUUCACCCAGGUCACAUUUCAGUUGCACAUCAAAAGUGUUACUGACCUUUCUGAGUCCGUCCUCGAUGAAGGUUCUCCUGACUGGUCCCAUAUGAGCCUAUUGAAUGAGACCAAGAUUUGUUCAGAACAAAGGAAAGCUGUGUUUUUCAGUGAAAGAAUGGACAGGGGCAAGCUCGCCCCCUGGAGUACCCUUUCUCCCUGGCAGGCUGUGGGCCAGGCUGCUUUAUGGAGUUCAAGUGUUGGGCGGGGCGAUGGGGCGGAGCUCCGGCAGCGCAGGGGCAGUUUGCCAGCAGUGUCUGCACACAGCCCGCUGCCGCCACGGCCAUCUUGAAUUGCAGUGUUGAGCGCAGAGCUUCUGCAUACGGUCCCAAGCUAAGAAGCAGGCACAGCUCUUUGGCGUUGGGGACUCUUGUCUGAAGUACCUGGUGGAAGGCCUCUUCACGCAGUAUCCUGUGGUCAAGUGAAACUACAGGAAGCACGAAAAAAAAAAAAAGGUGGUCCUCAUUACCUGGCUUUUCUCCAGUCUUGCCUCUUGGCUCACAGGACUGACCACUCUUUUCCAAAAUGGAAAGCCCCUUGUCUGCCCCCAGCCUCUGGAGGAGAUGCUUUCUGAGGAUCCUUCCACCUCUGACAGCCUGCAGUUCUCAUUUUACUCAGACCCAGGCUCUUUGUGAGAACAACCUCCCUGAGAACCUUCAUCUCAAGUUUAAGAGUGAUCAACUGCACUCAAAUGGGUCACUUUGGAAGAUUUUACUCAGUAUUCUUUAUCAGAGAACAGUCAACCCAAUUCUACUUGGAACUUCAUGGCAGCAAAGUCCUUGGGAUGGAAAAAGCAUUUUCCUUUCCCUUUUCAUCUGGUUCAGGCCCUGGAGGAUUCAAGGACAUCUGUGAGCCUACCUUGGGAUAUGGCUAUUUAUACUGCUGGUUCCUCCUUGGAAGUGAUUGGAAAUAAUCUCAGAAUGCCUUAGUAUCUUCUCCAGUUUCUGCCCAUCACAAAUGAAAAACAUGCAGUUCUGAGAGAUGCUAACUGCUGCCUCCAUGCUUGUGUGUGCCCAGGUCUGCCCAGGAUAGGUGCCUGUGGAUUGGUGAGCUGAGGUAGCCAGGGGUAAACAUUAAGGGAGCCUGCCUUCUGGACAUUUCUUGGGAGAGUUUCCUCCUGUCCACUCAAAAGAGGCAGCAGUGGUGUGGCUUGCACCAGAAAACGUCUUUGGAAAUGCAUUCUGCAAAUUGUGGAGGCCAAGUUCCCCAGAGAUCAGAGGUCAUAGCUACUGAGGACAUCUUUAGUGUCUCUUAAACAUGCCCCAAUGAGUUUGCAGUCUAGUCAGUGUUGACUGAAUAGUGAGGGGACCAGGAAAGUACGGUGAUUCAGGCUUCCCAAUACUUACCCUAGAUGGCUCAGUGGUCAGACCUCCCCAGAAUUCACAGGUUCAGAACACCCAUGUAACUGAAUAGCAAUUGACACUUAGGCUUUCACUUUCAACUUUUUUAAUUAAAAAAGUUUAUUGAAUAAGUUUGGUAUGUAACAUCAUGUAAGUUUAAGAGAUAUGGUAUGUUACUUUGAUACAUUUAUAUAUUAUAGGAUUGCUGAUAUAACUAUAUAUAAUAUUAAUUAUUAUACUAUAUUAUUGUCUGUAUUCAUUAUACAGUACAUUAGCUCUUUGACUUUACUGUUGAUUACAAGUUUGUACCCUUAAACAUCUUUUAUCCACCACCCUUCAUCCCUCAUUCCCUGGUAACCUCCAUUUUACUCUCUGUUUUUUAUAGGUUAAACUUUUUUAUAUUCCUCUAGUGAUAUCAUACAGUACUUCUAAGUAACAUUUAAUGAGCACUUCUGCACAGCACUUUACCUGAUCACUCACUUAUCCACACCUUGAGGCAGGCAUUAUUAUUCCAUUUACAGAUGAGGACGCUAGGAUUUGGAGGUACUAAAGUCAUGCAGUUGUUUAUUGGCAGAGCGUGGAUGGUCUGACUCAACAGUCUAAUUGCGAUGCAUAGAAUGUGCAUCACCUAACCAAAACCAGCUGCCUCUGAGCUCCCUCAUGGUUAGCUUAUUGCAGAGAUGUUCCUUGAGACCUGAGAGCAGAAUGAAGCCACAUGAGAGCCAGUGAUUAGCAGUGGGUCCAAAUGAUGUCAACCGAGUGAGGAGUUUGUGGGGGGUCAAAGCAAUUUUGUCUUCAAAUACAUUUGCCUCAUAGAACAAAUCUUUUUCUUAGGAUUAAAAUAAUUCCUCUCUAUUCUAAUUUCCCUGAUUUUCAUUUCUAACUUUAUUCCCUUUACUCAGGAGUAAAUAAGCUGGUGAUUUACCUAUUUCAUCAUUAUUUUUCCCCAAAGAAAUAGCUCUUGGAGUUGUUAUUUCAACUCCGAGCCUAUUUUCUAAUUUAUUUCUUCAUUUUUAUUAGUUCCUUCUGUUUUCCUUAGAAUUAUUUCAUUUUUUUAAAAUUCUUCAAUUCAGUGUUUCAUUAGGCUUCAUUCUUGUUCAGUAAUAUAAGUUUUUAUGACUGUGUCUUUCUAUGUGCAUUGUUUUGGCUAUAUUACAAGAUUCAAAUAUGUAGAGAUUUCAGGAUUCUUCAUGGAAUAACCUGGAUUCACUGAGAUCCACUUUGUGCCAGAUACUGUGCUAGUGGGUGGAGAUAUGACCUUAGAAAUCCCUGCUCUCAAGGAGAUAAUUCAAGUGGGGAAAAUAAAAUGAAUAAGUAAAAAAAUAAUAUCAGACAAUGAUAGGUGCUAUGAAUAAAAUAAAGUGUAAGGAGAAUGUGGAGGAGGUGCUAUUGUAUAAAGAAUGUAGAGGAAAGGACUCUUUGAUAUGCUGAUAGUUUAACAGAGACCUAGAAAAAGUGAAGAGUCAAUGAAAAGGGAAGGAAUAUCCCAAACGUAGGGAACGGCACAUGCAAAUACCCUGAUGCAGGAACAUCCUUGAUUUGUACUAGAAUCCCUAAGGAGGACAGUAUGACAGAAAACACGGAGGGAGAAGUGGAUGGAGGAGACUGGAGGGAUUGUAGAAACAGCUCAUGUGCAUCAGUAUAAGCUGAGGCAGGGGUUGUGGAUAAGAUUAGAAACACGAUAGGAAGCUAUUAGAGGGUUUUGAGCUUGGGAGUGAUGUGAUCUAACUUACGGUUAUUGAUUGAUUGGUUGACAGUUGGCUUUAUUGAGGUAUAAAACUGUCAUAAAUUUUGGCAAAUAUGUAUACUGAUAUAAACAUAAUCAAUAUUUUCCAUACCUCAAAAUGUCUACUUGUGCCCUUUACAGUCAAUACCCGUUCUCACCCCCAGGCUCAGGCAACCACUGAUGUGCUUUCAAUGACUAUAGAUUUAUAUUUUCUAAAAUUUUACAGAAACAGAUCCUAGAGUCUUUUGUGCCUCUUUCACUUAACAUAAUGCUUUUGAGUUUCAUCCAUGUCAUGCAAUCAUAUGAUAUAUACACUGUAUCUCAGUAGUUUGUUCUUUUUAUUGCUCAGGAACAUUUCAGGGAUAUACCACAAUAUACUUAUCCACUUCUCAUUUGGUGAUUUCAGGUUUUUAACUAUUAUGAAUAAAGCUUCUAUGAAUUUUAAUGUACAAGUAUUUGUGUGGACGUAUAUUUUCAUUUCUCAUAAGGAAAUACAAGGAGUAGUAAUCAUAGGUCAUGUAGUAAUCAUAUACUUAAAGCGCUGAACUGUUUUCCAAAGUGACUGCAUUUUUUUUUUUUUUUUUUUUUUUGCAUUUCGACCAGCUGUAUGUGAGAUUUCUAGUUGUUCUACAUCCUAACACUUUGUAUGUCUAAUUUUAGUCAUACUAGUGGGUGUUGGUAUUUCAUGCUUUUACUUUGCAUUUCCCUAAUGACUAAUUAUGUUGAGCAUCUUUUCAUGUGCUUAUUUGCCAUUCAUAUAUCUUCUCUGCUAAAGUGUCUGUUCAAAUAUUUUGUCCAUUAUUUUACUGAUUGUUUCAUUCUUAUUAAAAGUUCUAAGAGUUCUUUGUAUAUUCUGAUGUAAGUCCUUUAUGUGAUUUGCAAAUGUUUUCUCCCAGUCUGUGAAAGGCCUUUUUAUUUUCUUUACAGUGCCUCUCCAAAAGCAAAAUUUUUAACUUUUAAAUGUAGAUAAACUACAACAUAUGUUGUUUUUUUAAAAAAUGUUUUGUGCUCUUUAUGUUCUAAGAAAUGUUUGCCUACCCCAGGGUCGCAGAGAUUUUCUGCUAUGUUUUCUUUUAGAAGGUUUAUAGUUUUAGCUUUGACAUUUAGACCUACAAUCCAGUUUCUGUUAAUUUUCUUUGUGUAAUAC
ensembl:lncRNA